rnacentral:rRNA from 1 species
AUGCUGGAGGUAUCAGAAGUGCGAAUGCUGACGUGAGUAACGACAAAACGGGUGAAAAACCCGUUCGCCGAAAGACCAAGGGUUCCAGUCCAACGUUAAUCGGGGCUGGGUGAGUCGACCCCUAAGGCGAGGCCGAAAGGCGUAGUCGAUGGGAAAUUGGUUAAUAUUCCAAUACUUCUGUGUAAUGCGAUGAGAGGACGGAGAAGGUUAAGUCAGCCUGGCGUUGGUUGUCCAGGUGGAAGGAUGUAGGUAUGUAUCUUAGGCAAAUCCGGGGUACUCUAUACUGAGAUCCGAUAGCAAGCUGUACUUGUACAGCGAAGUGGCUGAUACCAUGCUUCCAGGAAAAGUCUCUAAGCUUCAGUUACACAGGAAUCGUACCCGAAACCGACACAGGUGGUCAGGUCGAGUAGACCAAGGCGCUUGAGAGAACUCUGCUGAAGGAACUAGGCAAAAUGGUACCGUAACUUCGGGAGAAGGUACGCUGUUGUUGGUGAUGGAACUUGCUUCCUGAGCUGAUGACAGCCGCAGAAACCAGGCCGCUGCAACUGUUUAUUAAAAACAUAGCACUCUGCAAACACGAAAGUGGACGUAUAGGGUGUGAUGCCUGCCCGGUGCUGGAAGGUUAAUUGAUGGGGUUAGCGUAAGCGAAGCUCUUGAUCGAAGCCCCAGUAAACGGCGGCCGUAACUAUAACGGUCCUAAGGUAGCGAAAUUCCUUGUCGGGUAAGUUCCGACCUGCACGAAUGGCAUAAUGAUGGCGGCGCUGUCUCCAGCAGAGGCUCAGUGAAAUCGAAAUCGCUGUGAAGAUGCAGUGUACCCGCGGCUAGACGGAAAGACCCCGUGAACCUUUACUGCAGCUUGACACUGAACUUUGACCUUACUUGUGUAGGAUAGGUGGGAGGCUUUGAAGUUGGAACGCUAGUUCCAAUGGAGCCGUCCUUGAAAUACCACCCUGGUAAUGUUGAGGUUCUAACUCUGUCCCGUUAUCCGGGACGAGGACCGUGUCUGGUGGGUAGUUUGACUGGGGCGGUCUCCUCCUAAAGAGUAACGGAGGAGUACGAAGGUGCGCUCAGCGUGGUCGGAAAUCACGCGUAGAGUAUAAAGGCAAAAGCGCGCUUAACUGCGAGACCCACAAGUCGAGCAGGUACGAAAGUAGGUCUUAGUGAUCCGGUGGUUCUGUAUGGAAGGGCCAUCGCUCAACGGAUAAAAGGUACUCUGGGGAUAACAGGCUGAUACCGCCCAAGAGUUCAUAUCGACGGCGGUGUUUGGCACCUCGAUGUCGGCUCAUCUCAUCCUGGGGCUGAAGCAGGUCCCAAGGGUAUGGCUGUUCGCCAUUUAAAGAGGUACGCGAGCUGGGUUUAGAACGUCGUGAGACAGUUCGGUCCCUAUCUACCGUGGGCGCUGGAAAUUUGAGAGGAUCUGCUCCUAGUACGAGAGGACCAGAGUGGACGAACCUCUGGUGUACCGGUUGUGACGCCAGUCGCAUCGCCGGGUAGCUAUGUUCGGAAGGGAUAACCGCUGAAAGCAUCUAAGCGGGAAGCCUACCUCAAGAUAAGAUUUCCCUAGGAAUUUAUUCCUCUAAAGAGCCGUUCGAGACUAGGACGUUGAUAGGUUGGAUGUGGAAGCAUAGUGAUAUGUGAAGCUGACCAAUACUAAUUGCUCGUGAGGCUUGACUAU